rnacentral:lncRNA from 13 species
AUGGUGGAGGAUGAGACAGGUCUCUGCGGUAAGUGGCGGGGACUUGUACCCCACCGGGAAUCCUCCAAACCUCCUGCUCCUUCUCCGGGGCUCCCUGCUUUGUCUGGGAUGGGAUGGUGGCACUAUGGGGUGCAACACCGCCAGCGGCGAGGGAUGGGUUCGGGGUGCUGUCAGGUGUUACGUUGCCCCCAGUGGGGGGGUGGCGGGGUCGGGUGUGAGAUCCACGACAUCAUUGCCUGUGUCUGGGAGCUGGUUGGGGGCACUAUCCAAGGCUGCAUCGCCUACGUGGGGAGUGGGUUGGGGGCAGUGUCUGGGGCUGCAAUGCUGGCGGGGAAGUAUGGUUUAGGGGGUGCUACACUGCUGGUGGGGGGGAGGGGUGGUGUUAAAGGCGUCAUGGGGACUACACUGAGACAGAGGUUGGGGGGCUUGUUGGGAGAGCUACACAGGGUUGGACUGCCUGUGGGGUGGGGUAGAGGGUUGGUGGGGGCACUCUUGGGGCCGGAUACACAGCCCGAUUGGUGGGGAGGCGGCGGGUGGGCCAGGUGCUCUCAGGGAUCUGCGUUGCCUGGUAAAGAGCGGGUGAGUGUGCAAUUCCGGGCUGCGUGGGUUGUGGCAGGGGCAGGUUGGGUGUGCUAUCAGGGGCUACCCGAGCUAGCCAUGGGGGUACUUCCCAAGGUGGAGAGGGAGUUUGGAGUGCUAUCGGUGGCUGCACUGCCCAAGGCAGGGAGUUGGUUGGGGGCGCUAUCCAGGGCCGCACUGUUCCCGACGGGGAGUGAGUCAGGGCACUCACUAUUCAGGGGUGCAGUGCCCGCAGUGGGGGGUGGUUUGGAUGCCAUAUGGGGGCAUCGCUGCCUGUGGUGGGGGUCUGCUUGGGGGCACUAUCUGUGGCUCCACUGCCCACCCCAGGGAGCCUGUUGGGGUGCUAUCCCGGGCUGUGCUGCCCAUGGUAGGGGGGUGGUUUGCGGGUGCCAUCGAGUGCUGCAGUGUCUAAGGCAGGGGCAGGUUAGGGGCUGCCGUGACGUGCUACACUGCCGGUGGUGGGGGAUGGUGUUGGCACUAUCCUGGGGCUGCACUGCCGGUGGCAGCGGGUCAGGGGCUCUGUCGGAAGCUGCACUACCGGUGGCAGGUGAUGGAAGUUUCAAUGACAGCGGUGGUCUCUGA